rnacentral:lncRNA from 1 species
UAUGUGGGCCAUAGAGUAAAAGAAUGCAACUUAAAAAUAUGAGACACACAUAUGUAUGCUCGUGUAUGUGUUUUCAAAGCAAAACAGGAGAAAGACCAGAUGGUGGAAGACUUACAGUCUCGCAGAUGAAGUGAUAAAAACGAGAAUGAUUCCAGAGAGGAGAAGGAUGAUUGGUGUGAGAUGAAUGGAAGAAAUGGUUGUAUUUAUACACGUUCUGAGAAGUUAUUUAGAGUAGGAAGAAUCAAUCAGUAUCAAUCUUUCUAUAUUUGAUCUCUUUUUGGAAGGAAAUGUAAAUUAGGGUAAAACCCUUCAUGGUUGUGCAGCCG